GAAGGAUCAUUGUCGA
rnacentral:rRNA from 2 species